rnacentral:rRNA from 1 species
GGCCAGACUCCUACGGGAGGCAGCAGUGGGGAAUAUUGCGCAAUGGGGGGAACCCUGAUGCAGCGACGCCGCGUGGGUGAAGGAGUAUUUCGGUAUGUAAAGCCCUAUCAGCAGGGAAGAACAAUGACGGUACCUGACUAAGAAGCACCGGCUAAAUACGUGCCAGCAGCCGCGGUAAUACGUAGGGGGCAAGCGUUAUCCGGAUUUACUGGGUGUAAAGGGGGCGCAGACGGCGAUGCAAGCCAGGAGUGAAAGCCCGGGGCCCAACCCCGGGACUGCUCUUGGAACUGCGUGGCUGGAGUGCAGGAGGGGCAGGCGGAAUUCCUGGUGUAGCGGUGAAAUGCGUAGAUAUCAGGAGGAACACCGGUGGCGAAGGCGGCCUGCUGGACUGCAACUGACGUUGAGGCCCGAAAGCGUGGGGAGCAAACAGGAUUAGAUACCCUUGUA